rnacentral:rRNA from 1 species
GUGGGGAAUAUUGGACAAUGGGCGAAAGCCUGAUCCAGCCAUGCCGCGUGUGUGAAGAAGGUCUUCGGAUUGUAAAGCACUUUAAGUUGGGAGGAAGGGCAGUAAGUUAAUACCUUGCUGUUUUGACGUUACCGACAGAAUAAGCACCGGCUAACUUCGUGCCAGCAGCCGCGGUAAUACGAAGGGUGCAAGCGUUAAUCGGAAUUACUGGGCGUAAAGCGCGCGUAGGUGGUUUUGUAAGUUGGAGGUGAAAUCCCCGGGCUCAACCUGGGAACUGCCUCCAAAACUGCAUGACUAGAGUACGGUAGAGGGUAGUGGAAUUUCCUGUGUAGCGGUGAAAUGCGUAGAUAUAGGAAGGAACACCAGUGGCGAAGGCGACUACCUGGACUGAUACUGACACUGAGGUGCGAAAGCGUGGGGAGCAAACAGGAUUAGAUACCGGUAGUCC